GUUCAGAUGGUAGCUUAUUCCAUUCUCUGAUAGUUCUUGAGAAAUAUGAAUAUUUAAAAACGUCUUUAGUUGCCUUAGGAAUUUGGUAUUUCAAUGGGAGGCUGCCGCGUGUUCUAGAUUCUGGGUGUAAUUUCAAAUACUGCUCGGUGUUAAAAUCUACAAGGUUAUGACUUAUCUUGUACAUCAUUGUUAAUCUUGAUUCCACCCUCCUCUCUUCUAAUGUCUUCCAUCCAAGCGUGUCCAACAUACCUGUAACGCUGGCAAGUGGAGCAUAGUUCUGCAAGCAGAAUUUCGCGCCUUUUCUUUGGACUUUUUCUAGUGUCUUAAUGUCUUUCUUGUAGUGUGGGUCCCAUGCCUCACAAGCAUAUUCCAGUUUUGACCUUACCAUUAUUACAAGCAUAUUCCCGUUUUGACCUUACGUUUUGUAAACAGUUUCCCUAACGUGUUUUGGACAAUUCCAAAAAUUUCUUCGUGCCAUUCCAAGUAAUUUACUGGCUUUACUUGCUGGGUUUGAGACAUGCUCCGAGAACUUCAUUUUGUUAUUUAGGGUGAUACUCAGG